AUGAGAGCCGACAACAGAGAUGAAGAAUUUUGUGAGCUGCUAGGAGCAGAGCAAGACUUGCUUAUUGCACUAAUGAAUGUGGAUUGUGGGACAGCUGACACCUCACUGAAAUCAGGCCUCUCAAGCACCCAGGAUUACCAUGGGACUCAGAAGGGAUGCAGAAGCAGCUCCAUGAGGCUGGAUAAGGGAAGCAGGACUGCCUGCCUAUUGAGUGGAUAUUGUGGUCAGUGCACCUUGAGCUCCAGGAAGCUGUGCAAAGCAGGGCCCCAGCUAGUCCCCUACAGCAGACUUGAGGCUGUGCAGCUUCCAGAGUAGAUGCCACACCAACAGGGCUCUUGUCACGGCCAGGCUGCUGGCAGUGUGUGACAGGGGGAUGCUUUGGGCACAAAGGUGGAACACGGUGCCCUGCCUGCUGGGUUGGAAUCCCAGGCAGACAAGUGUCACGCUGCAGGUAUGCACAUAGGGCACUCUGAGAGCUGCUCCUUAAUGAAUUGGUAGCAUGCCAGCCUUUGAUUGGCAUGAAGCAACCACAUGGGUUUUAAUCUCUUCCUCUGCACACAUAGUGACUAUUAAUGAGAGGAUUACUGUGAAGUGGCCUGAAACUAAAUGGCAUGUGUAGAAUCUCAUGGCUACGUAAGUCACAGGCAGACUUGGAUAGCACAAGAAAGGGGCAGCCUUCUUCACAUUUUCCAGAAAGAAAUGUGAAGAUCAAAUACUCAGAGUCAAACUCUUGCACGGAGGUACCCAAACUCAUAACGAACAUCAGCUCUAAAAUUCCAGUUGCCACUGCCAGUAUGUGAAUACCUCGCAUGGGUGUCACCUUGUUCCUAUAGCACCGAAAGUCUAGUGAUGGGAGAGGUGAUCCCAUCAGCUAAGGCAGCUGACAAGCCAGUGCCUUCUGCAGAUCUGAUCAUAAAAAAUGUUGUAAACAAGCACGUGCCUGGGUUUACCCUGUAGGACAAUAUAAUACCCAGCUAUGGAACUGCAGGGUCACUGCUUGCCAAAAUAAGACUGAAUAAGCUGAUGCUUUGCAGGUACUCCAUGCUCACCCUCAUCUCCCGAGCACAUUCUGCAGCACUUCGUAGUUAAGGUUACACAGACACUCAGCAAAACAGGAUCCCUUCCACUGGGGUGAGGGGAGCAGAGAGAUGGCUGCUAGCUGCCAGCCUAGAGUGGAAAGUGAGUCACGGUCAUAAAAUAGGUCAUUUCCACUCCGUGUGAACGCUCUCGCAUAGUAUUCAGGUUGAUUUCUGUAACAACGAACAGCCUGGGCUCAGGUUUGCUUCUGGACUUGCUGCUUCUGCUGCAGAUAAGC
rnacentral:lncRNA from 1 species